UGCCCAGUAACUCCCAUCCCCACCUCCUCGCGGUACCGGCCAGAAACUACGAGCAACCUUUGGGAUGAUCGGGUAACCAACUUUUGGAACUUUGGUCGUAGGCUGACAGGGAAGG
rnacentral:ribozyme from 1 species